UGUAGUAUGUUUAUGAUAUUAGAUCCCCACCUGCUGGAAAUCAUAGGAACAGUCAACUCACUGAAAUAUUUGAUCUUUUUUGUUCUUUGUGGGACCUACAAGUCUUAGAGAAAUGCAGAUGAUGUAUGACAAGUACUUCCUGCUUUUGCAUUCACUCCUAGACAAGAUCAACCUCUCAAGAAACAUUAAGACUCGUCUGAUGUGAUCAUGGAAAGAGUCCAAAUGGCCUGUCAACAAAUAGAAAAAUAUCUGGUGAUUCUCCUUAUAGCAUCAGGUGUUAUCUGUCAAGACCGGAUUGGACCCAGUGGCGAGAGGACCAGUGUUAUCAGUACAGAAGGAGAUUCUGUGACACUCGAGUGUUCAUACGAUUCAAGCAGCAGCUAUGUUCUCUUUUAUUGGUACAGACAGUUUACUAACACACAGCCUCAAUUUGUGCUGGCGAAAGGCGGACGAUCAGAGAGAUAUAAGAUCAUACCAGACCCUCGAUUUGAAUCAACUUCAUCCCAGACAUCCACCUCAUUGACUAUUAAAAGUGUGACUCUGUCAGAUUCAGCUCUCUAUUACUGUGCUCUGAUUAAUAGUAUCAGGCUGCCCAGUGUUUACAAAUAG